rnacentral:rRNA from 1 species
GAUGAACGCUGGCGGCGUGCCUAAUACAUGCAAGUCGAGCGAACAGACGAGGAGCUUGCUCCUCUGACGUUAGCGGCGGACGGGUGAGUAACACGUGGAUAACCUACCUAUAAGACUGGGAUAACUUCGGGAAACCGGAGCUAAUACCGGAUAAUAUAUUGAACCGCAUGGUUCAAUAGUGAAAGACGGUUUUGCUGUCACUUAUAGAUGGAUCCGCGCCGCAUUAGCUAGUUGGUAAGGUAACGGCUUACCAAGGCAACGAUGCGUAGCCGACCUGAGAGGGUGAUCGGCCACACUGGAACUGAGACACGGUCCAGACUCCUACGGGAGGCAGCAGUAGGGAAUCUUCCGCAAUGGGCGAAAGCUUGACGGAGCAACGCCGCGUGAGUGAUGAAGGUCUUCGGAUCGUAAAACUCUGUUAUUAGGGAAGAACAAAUGUGUAAGUAACGAUGCACGUCUUGACGGUACCGAAUCAGAAAGCCACGGCUAACUACGU